CGGCAGCAUGAUCUNGCUUGCUAGAUUGAUGGCGAGUGGCGAACGGGUGAGUAAUACAUCGGAACGUGCCCUGUAGUGGGGGAUAACUAGUCGAAAGAUUAGCUAAUACCGCAUACGACCUGAGGGUGAAAGUGGGGGACCGCAAGGCCUCAUGCUAUAGGAGCGGCCGAUGUCUGAUUAGCUAGUUGGUGGGGUAAAGGCCCACCAAGGCGACGAUCAGUAGCUGGUCUGAGAGGACGAUCAGCCACACUGGGACUGAGACACGGCCCAGACUCCUACGGGAGGCAGCAGUGGGGAAUUUUGGACAAUGGGCGAAAGCCUGAUCCAGCAAUGCCGCGUGUGUGAAGAAGGCCUUCGGGUUGUAAAGCACUUUUGUCCGGAAAGAAAUGGCUCUGGUUAAUACCUGGGGUCGAUGACGGUACCGGAAGAAUAAGGACCGGCUAACUACGUGCCAGCAGCCGCGGUAAUACGUAGGGUCCAAGCGUUAAUCGGAAUUACUGGGCGUAAAGCGUGCGCAGGCGGUUGUGCAAGACCGAUGUGAAAUCCCCGAGCUUAACUUGGGAAUUGCAUUGGUGACUGCACGGCUAGAGUGUGUCAGAGGGGGGUAGAAUUCCACGUGUAGCAGUGAAAUGCGUAGAGAUGUGGAGGAAUACCGAUGGCGAAGGCAGCCCCCUGGGAUAACACUGACGCUCAUGCACGAAAGCGUGGGGAGCAAACAGGAUUAGAUACCCUGGUAGUCCACGCCCUAAACGAUGUCAACUAGUUGUUGGGGAUUCAUUUCCUUAGUAACG
rnacentral:rRNA from 1 species